rnacentral:miRNA from 1 species
CAUCUCGGUACUCGGGGUCAUC